AUUGAACGCUGGCGGCAGGCUUAACACAUGCAAGUCGAACGGGUGGCGGACGGGUGAGUAAUGCUUGGUCAUCUCGCUUCUGGAGGGGGAUAACUGCGGGAAACUGUAGCUAAUACCUCGUACCAUAGGAUGUGCCCAAUUGGGAUUAGGUAGUUGGUGAGGUAAAGGCUCACCAAGCCGACGAUCUCUAGCUUGUCUGAGAGGAUGACCAGACACACUGGGAAUGAGAUAAGGACCAGACGCCGACGGGAGGCAGCAGUGGGGAAUAUUGCGCAAGGGGGGCAAGCAGACGCAGCCAUGGCGCGUGAAUGAAGAAGGGCUGCGGGUUGUAAAGUUCGUUCGGUAGCGAGGCGUUAACUACAGAAGAAGCACCGGCUAACUCCGUGCCAGCAGCCGCGGUAAUUC
rnacentral:rRNA from 1 species